CCAUCUGCAGCUCUCCCCCUUAUUCUAUUCCUACAGGUCACUCUCACAGGAGACAUGCGAAUCAUUCUGUAUAUCUCCCUUUACCUGUAAGGUUGGGCCAUACGAAGGCCAGUGAGGCUGAGGCCUCCAUUUGGAGCGAAGAUUGGAUCAGUUCUUAGAUCAGGCUAACUGGCAGUGGCAGCCCAAACAGGGCUGUUGGCUUAUUCGAGUUCGGCCGAUUCAUUGGGCAAAGAUUAACGAAGCAUGGACGAGUGAGCUGGAUUCGGCAGGCAGAUGAACGCAACCAAAUUAUUUCUUCCUUUCAAUGGCUGUUGGCCUGCAAAGUUAGCUUCUG